rnacentral:rRNA from 1 species
ACGAGAGGACCGGGAUGGACUGACCUCUGGUGCACCAGUUGUCAUGCCAAUGGCACGGCUGGAUAGCCAAGUCGGGAACAGAUAAACGCUGAAAGCAUCUAAGCGUGAAACUGACCCCAAGAUGAGAUAUCCCACCGAGAGAUCGGGUAAGACCCCAUGCAGACGACGUGGUUGAUAGGUCAGGGGUGUAAGCGCAGUAAUGCGUUGAGCUAACUGAUACUAAUAGGUCGAGGGCUUGACCAAAAA